rnacentral:lncRNA from 1 species
AUUGUGAGAGGAAUUCGUGGCAAAAUAACGUCGUUGGAAACAUCUUCGAAUAUUCUAAGGAUUUUCAGUUUUAAGGGUUAAAAUGGAUGAAGUAAAAUCCAAGCUGUUUAAAUCUUUUUCUCUUUAUUGCCAACGUUUCCGUGACUAUUUCAGUAAAAAUUAUCAUUUUUAAUAUUGUUGCUUGCGCACCAGUACUUCGGUAUAUUAUAUCCUCGAAAAUUAGACACUUAAUGGAAUCAUCAAAAGAUACACGAAUGUUUUAUUUUAUACUGCCAAACGAAAAGCCUUGAUUUUUUCUGUUCUACUGAAAUAUAGUGUCAAAUUUAAUAAUUCUGUUUCUCAAACUGUCAGUGUUGAUUUUGGCGUUCCCCAAGGAACGGUCUUGGGUCCAUUACUGUUUUUGCUAUAUAUCAAUGGGAUGGUUAGCGUUAUUGAAAAAUCAAAUGUAGUGUUGUUUGUUGACGAUAUCAUGUUGUACCAUCGUGCCGAAAAAAAACUGGGACAUUAAAAUUUAGGUAGGGAAUUGUCUUCUAGUCUAUUAUAGUAAAUCGCGUUCCUUGGGUAUGGUAUGCAUAUUUACGCAUUAUGAAUUUUUGAAGUCUUAUUAAUUACAUAUUUAAAUAAUAAUAUUGAUACAAAACAUUUUUAUUUUUCGAUAUUUAUUUUUAUUUGGAACACAUUUUAUAAAUAAACCAAAAGUAACAAAAUAUUUUUUUGAUAAUAUGGAAUAAAAAAUUAUUAAUACUUAGUAAGCGCACCGUCGUUAUCAAUUACAGCUUGCAAACGUCGUGGCAUACUUAAAAUUAAGUUUCUGGUAUAUUCUUCGGUUAUAUGGUCCUAUGCGUCAUCUAUCUUUAGGCGUAAUUCAUUCUGAUUUCUGGGCCUAAAGUUCAUAUAUUCUCUUUAUACAUAUAUUUUGCCAUUUUACCCCAAACGUUUCCAACUGGGUUAAUAUCAGGGCUUUUCGAGGGCCACGGUAAAACUUAAAUUCGUCUUUCUUCUAGAUAGUUUUGAACUAUACGGGUUGUAUGUAUAGGAGCACUAUAAUGUUGGAAGAUAAAAUCUUGCCCAUAGAUACACCAACUGAUGGCAUCAAAACAUUGUUUAGGUUAUUGCAAUAUCCUAAGGCAUUAAGCCUUUCCUGCACUAUUUGACAAACGCCUGGUCCUCUAAAACUAAUCCAGGCGCAAACCUUUAUACUAAAACGUCCACUUUGAUUAGUCUUGAUGUGUAUAUCUUUCAUCACAUCUGGUAUUAGAAGGCCUGUAAAUGCGGAACGUAAAGGUUUUUUAAAGAACUUGGAUUUUUUACAAUAGGUCCAUAUUCUGCAAUUUUGCUUUAGCUAAGGAAACGCGAUUCUUCUUAUAGGAACUCCAUCCAUCAGACGAGUGUAUAAUAUCGCCUUUUGUUGAGGAGAAAAUUCAGGCAUUUUUAAAGAACGAUUUUGUUGACGCGGCUGUCACAAAAUUAAAUUAACUUUGACAACAUCAAAAUAUAUUAUUCUAAUAGACCAAGUGAUUUAGGAGAUUUUUCUGUCCCAGUUUUUUUUCGGCACGAUAGUACAUAGUGGUUAAAAACCUCGUUCAAAUGGUUUGUGAUGUGAAUAUUGAACUCAGCGACCUAUUCAACUGGUUCUGUGAUAACAAGUUAAGUUUGAAUACAGUGUUUGGAAAAAAAAUAGCUUCUAUUAACAUUCCAAGUGUGCGAAUUCGUGAAAAUUCGCGCAGACUAUAUUAUAUACACUGGGUUUUGUUAUUAGAAACUCAAGCUGGUUUAAAAUAGAUACUGUAAUAAGACUGUUCAUUGCAAUAGUUCGACCUCACCUUGAGUAUGCGGCUAUAAUAUGUAUCCUCACAGAAGUAUGUUGACUAAUUUCAACAUAGUAUCUUUAAAUCAAAGAAGAGAUGAUCAGUCUGUUAUUUUUAAAUAUAAUAUAGUGAACAAUAAAAAAUAUAGUAAUCUGAAUUUAAUUAACAGAAUAGAUUUGAAUGUCCCCAAGGUAGCCCUUAGACCUACAAACACUAAAAAAUUUAAUGUGAAUUUUGCUAGUUUAUGGCCCCUUAAAAUCAUGGAUCACUUUAUUGCAUCAAAGUGCAAUAAAGUGAUCCAACUCUGUGAUAUAGAUAUUUGUAAUAUUAAUACAUUUUAACUCCUAAAGAGAAACUACUUAGUCUGGAAUUAAAUUAAUUUUAUAAUGUAUCUAUAUAUGAAUCUUAGUACUGCCUUUACUGAUCUGUAACUUUUCCCUAUAAUUUAAUUUUAUUGUUUCUUUGUAUAACGCCAUGACACUAGCCCGUUUGCAGUUUUGUUCAACGCUGUUAUAUAAUUUGCCAGAAUUUAAAAUUUACUAGAUGGAAAAAAUCCAAAGUGGGGCAAUGAGGACAAUUUUAAAAUGUAACCGUUAUACACCAAUUAAAUGAAUGUUAAAUGUUUUAAAUAUGUCGUCCCACAUAGGAGUAUUCCGAAAUCGGGCCGGAAAAGAUUUGAUACAUGUUUUUAGGUAUCCAAGACUAUAGUGCAUCAAACCUAACUGUUAUUUAUUGUUUAUGCCUUAUCAACGCUCUUAAUUGUCACUUUUAAGGUUAAUAGUUUGUGAGGUCUAUAUCAAAGUGUUUAGAAUGAAAUAAAUUUAAUAAUUUUUAAUUUGAAUUGUGUCGUAGCUAGAUUAUUUUAAGAAAAGUAAAGUUAAGGAGUCUAAUACAACAGGUAAGUACUUACAAACUGCAUUUUUAUUUUUUUACAUUUAUUGUAUACUUUCUUUGGUAUUCCAUUUUUAAGAUGAUAACCUUUUAGUAAUAAACAUUUAAAAAAAAUAUAUAUCAAAAAUGAUUAAGUCAAAGUGCCGGGAUUUGCCGGGCAUUGAUAUUAAUAUUUUUGAAUAGCCUAUAUAUUUGUCUUCUAUGGUACAAAAAAUAAAUGUCAACUUUUUGAACUAACGCCUUAAAGGAGGGAGGAGGACACCUCAAAAUAUUGAAAAUUUGAAAUGUGACAUUUCGUGAUUUUUUCAUGUUUUAGCUACAUCUGGCUUUCGAAAUAUGACACGUAGGAUGCUAUUUACAUUUGUCAGGGAGUCAGAAGGUGUUAAUAUAACAGAAAAAUGAAAAAUUCUGGAAGGAUACAUCCUUAACUUUGGACCAUUUUCUGAUAAGGAUGAAAUUAAAGUAAAACGAGAAAUUCGUCGGUUAAAGUCUGAAAUUGUAUCAAUAUGGAGAAAGUCACAUGCUAUAUGGGAUAAAUUCGAAAAGAAUAACAAAGGAUGGCUGAAUGGAAUCAUUUCACUUCCUAAACCUCUGAGCUCGCCCUCUCAAAGAGUUGGCCAUCUAAAAACAAAAUUCUAUGAUUCGAGUAAAAGAACCAAGAGAAGAAAAACGAAAACUUUGAGAAGAGACAAUGAACUGGAAGAACUUACUUUUGCAACUCAAGUAAAAUUAGUUAAUAAAGGGAAACGUGAUGCUUCUCUCGUGCUGAAAGAAAUCACACCCUUCUACACCCAAACGAGCCACUGCCUAUAAAAAAGCGUUCAGUGCAAGUAAAUCCAAAGAGAAGGUACAACUAACACCGCAACAAGCGUUAUCAAUGUUCAUCGACGCAGACUUAUCAAAGAGGCAGUACGAAAUCAUAAGAAGUUAUAAUCCAUCUAUGUAUCCAUGCUACAGUAAGAUCCAAGAAGUCAAAAAAGAGUCUACAAAGAAUCAUUAAUUACUGUCACCGAAACUUUAGCAGAUAUUAAGCUUCAGAAUUUGAUGGAUCACACUGUAUCCAGAUUACUGACAGAUCUUUACGAAGUAGUUAAAACGCUUGACGAAGAAGAAAGAAAUGCCUUGGAACUCAUAUGUAAAGGGGGAUGCGAUGGAGCGCAACAAGCGCAAUUCAACAAAACUUUGUAUGUGACUCCGACACGGACGCUAACUUGUUCCAAAGCUCACUUGUCCCUUUACGGCUUAUUUGUUCCUUAAAUGGAAAAAUACUAUGGCAGAACCCCACUUCUUCAUCUCCUCGUUAUUGCCGCCCAAUCAGGCUGAGAUUUAUAAAAGAAACCGCAGAUGUGACAAGAGAAGAAAUAUCAUAUAUCAAAGAUGCUUCAAAAAAUUUAAACAAAACGAAAUGAAAGUCCAAAUGAAAGAAAAUAUUGCUUGCGAGGUAUCGCAUACAAUGAUGUUGACCAUGGUCGAUCGAAAGGUGUGCAACUCUGUGACAAGCACAUCAUCUACAAUGAGGUGCUACAUAUGUCGCUUAACUUCAAAGGAUUUUAACUGUAUCCAAAAAAAGGGGACAGUUAAUGUGAAAACUUUUGAGUUUGGUUUAUCUAUUCUUCAUGCCCGAAUACGAUUUUUUGAAGCUGUUUUACAUUUGGCCUAUAAACUACCAGUACAAAAGUGGCAGCUCAGAAGCGAUGAAGAAAAAGAAAAAGUCAAACUCAGGAAACUCGCAAUCCAAAGCGAAUUUAAGUCAAAGAUGGGAUUUUUUGCAAACCACGAACUGUCUGCAGAAAUUACUGGUAUAGACGCGACAUUUAUCUAUCGCCUGAAAAUUAUUCUGGUUUGGGUCGGGUCUGGUCUUGGAAAGUUUUGUCGAGUGAGCAUGAGGUGAAUACGAAAACAUUUUCGGUUUUCGCUACAGAAACGGCAGAACGUGAUAAGACAUGCUUUGCUGCCAAUCGGACAACUGUCUGAGGAGGCUGCUGAAGCCAGGAACAAAUACAUACGCCUCUAUCGCCAAAACUUCGCAAGAAAAUUUUCUCGAAAAGAAUGUAACGCGGACAUAUUAAACAGACUUCUUCUAAACUCCGAUCCUGUAAUGACGGGAAUGAGACCGAGAAGAAGAAAGUUGUCGGAACCUUUCUCAAAAGACACCAUAUCAAUGCUACAGUCGACUGUAUUUAAUUAGUAUUUACUGUAGUAUUUACUGUAGUUGGUAUUAAUUAAUAUUGUAGUUAGUAUUAAUUAUUAUUGUUGUAGUUGUCGAAACCUUUCUCAAAAGACACCAUAUUAUUGCUACAGUCGACUGUAGUUAAUUUGUAUUGACUGUAGUAUUAUUUUGCAGUAUUUACUGUAGGUAGUAUUGACUGUAUUAAUUGUUAUCAUGUUGUAAACAUGAUUACAAACCAAAAAUAAUUUUGGCCGCCCAGAUUGAUGAAAUACUCCUAUGUGCGUCCGUCCAUCACCGAGUACUGUGUAACGUUAAUUUAAGUUAAAAAGGGCCUUUUACCAAGAUAUAUCUGUGACAAAUUAGUAAUAUUUCAUGAUGUCCAUAACUAUAAUACAACAAAUUGUACAGAUUUUAUACUAUCUUAUAAAUGUAGCACUACUCAAAUGCUCAAUUCCGUGCUAUACAAAGGUCUGUUAAGAGUUUAAUAACACAAAAACCUGUGAUAACAUUAAACAAUUUAAACGCUUAUUGAGAGCACAUAUUUUAAAUUAGUUAUUAGGUCUUAUGUUUCAGUUUUAUAUUGUAAUACGACUUAAAUCCCAUUCUGCAUGUUAAGUUUUAUUAAGUCAUAUUUAAUGGUUGAGUUUUACUAUUUUAUAUUUACCAUAAGUGUUUAUUACUUAUAGAUAUAUCAAUAUUGUAUUUAUUAUUUAAACCCACUGUAAUUUAUAUGUGGCACAUUUGCUAAAUAAAGAGAUAUUAUUACUAUUAAUAUUAAAGAGCAAAAGAUUUAUUCAGCUUGGAUUUUACUUGACCCCACAUCCAUCUUAACCCUUACAACUCAAUAUAACUAAACUGGUCACCAAUAUUCUAGUUUAGGAGUUUACUUGACAAAUUUGCUUCACGAAAAACCCCUUAUUAAGAAUAUUCCAAUAAUUGCCAAAACGACGUCAUUUUGCUACCUUAGGUUUAAAAAACCCUUAAUUAAAAAAAAAAAUUUCUAAUUUACAAUUAGGAACUGAAAUAUGGAAUACCCUUUCAAGGGCGCAGACACAUAUGGUGUCUAUAUCAUGUGGUAUGAUUUCACUUUCAAUAUAAACUGUAUAUCGCUAGAAUCUCUCUUUUUUCAAUCUUAAAAUUGCUAUAUAGUUUGUUUACUCUUACACGCUAAAAUACCCCAAUCUCGAUUUUUAUUAAGUAGUAAUAAAUAAAUCUCAUUUU